rnacentral:rRNA from 1 species
AACGAACGCUGGCGGCAGGCUUAACACAUGCAAGUCGAGCGCCCCGCAAGGGAAGCGGCAGACGGGUGAGUAGCGCGUGGGAAUCUACCCAUCUCUACGGAAUAACGCAUGGAAACGUGUGCUAAUACCGUAUACGUCCUUCGGGAGAAAGAUUUAUCGGAGAUGGAUGAGCCCGCGUUGGAUUAGCUAGUUGGUGGGGUAAAGGCCUACCAAGGCGACGAUCCAUAGCUGGUCUGAGAGGAUGAUCAGCCACACUGGGACUGAGACACGGCCCAGACUCCUACGGGAGGCAGCAGUGGGGAAUAUUGGACAAUGGGCGCAAGCCUGAUCCAGCCAUGCCGCGUGAGUGAUGAAGGCCCUAGGGUUGUAAAGCUCUUUCACCGGUGAAGAUAAUGACGGUAACCGGAGAAGAAGCCCCGGCUAACUUCGUGCCAGCCGCCGCAGUAAGAC